rnacentral:rRNA from 1 species
UACAGAGGGGGCAAGCGUUAUUCGGAAUUAUUGGGCGUAAAGGGCGCGUAGGCGGCCUGGCAAGUGGAAGGUGAAAUCCCUCGGCUUAACCGAGGAACUGCCUUCCAAACUGCUUGGCUUGAGUCCGGGAGAGGUGAGUGGAAUUCCCAGUGUAGCGGUGAAAUGCGUAGAUAUUGGGAGGAACACCUGUGGCGAAAGCGGCUCACUGGACCACAACUGACGCUGAUGCGCGAAAGCUAGGGGAGCAAACAGG